UACGAAGGGUGCUAGCGUUGCUCGGAAUCACUGGGCGUAAAGGGUGCGUAGGCGGGCCUUUAAGUCAGGGGUGAAAUCCUGGAGCUCAACUCCAGAACUGCCUUUGAUACUGAGGAUCUUGAGUUCGGGAGAGGUGAGUGGAACUGCGAGUGUAGAGGUGAAAUUCGUAGAUAUUCGCAAGAACACCAGUGGCGAAGGCGGCUCACUGGCCCGAUACUGACGCUGAGGCACGAAAGCGUGGGGAGCAAACAGG
rnacentral:rRNA from 1 species